rnacentral:rRNA from 1 species
UACGUAGGGGCCUAGCGUUGUCCGGAUUUAUUGGGCGUAAAGAGCUCGUAGGCGGCUUGGUAAGUCAGGUGUGAAAUCUCCACGCUCAACGUGGAGGCGCCACCUGAAACUGCUAUGGCUAGAGUCCGGUAGGGGACCACGGAAUUCCUGGUGUAGCGGUGGAAUGCGCAGAUAUCAGGAGGAACACCAAUGGCGAAGGCAGCUCUCUGGUACGUGACUGACACUGAGACGCGAAAGCGUGGGGAGCAAACAGGA